GACGAACGCUGGCGGCGUGCUUAACACAUGCAAGUCGAACGGAAAGGCCCUUCGGGGUACUCGAGUGGCGAACGGGUGAGUAACACGUGGGUGAUCUGCCCUGCACUUUGGGAUAAGCCUGGGAAACUGGGUCUAAUACCGAAUAGGACCGCGCUCUUCAUGGGGUGUGGUGGAAAGCUUUUGCGGUGUGGGAUGGGCCCGCGGCCUAUCAGCUUGUUGGUGGGGUAAUGGCCUACCAAGGCGACGACGGGUAGCCGGCCUGAGAGGGUGACCGGCCACACUGGGACUGAGACACGGCCCAGACUCCUACGGGAGGCAGCAGUGGGGAAUAUUGGACAAUGGGCGGAAGCCUGAUCCAGCCAUGCCGCGUGAGGGAUGACGGCCUUCGGGUUGUAAACCUCUUUCAGCAGGGACGAAGCGCAAGUGACGGUACCUGCAGAAGAAGCACCGGCCAACUACGUGCCAGCCGCCGCAGUAAGAC
rnacentral:rRNA from 1 species